rnacentral:tRNA from 1 species
UAGCAGUUAGUUUAACAAACAAUUGAUUUCGACUCAGUUAUUCCGGGUUUAAGCCCCGGGCUGCUCA